ensembl:lncRNA
CUGUAAUAGUCUAUAUACUGUACCUACCCAUCUACUUUCACUCUGCUUCUGAAGCACAGGGGGUUGAGUAAACUUUCCGUAGACCUGAGUCUGUGAAAGUGUCCAGUGAAGGUCUGAACUGGAGUCCUGGCUGGUAGUGAGACACAUGCUGAGGGGCCCCACCCCUCCAGGAGCCGCGGCGUAAUUGGGAGUGUACUGUCUGUCUAUCCCGGGGCGAGCACGGCCACAGGAUCCAGCCAAAACACACACACACACACACACAGACACACACACACACACAGAACAGAGAGAGAGAGAGAGAGAGACGCGCGCACUGCUCCAGGAGUUGGAGGAGAGCGCUGGUGUGCGGUUCAGAACAAUUACGCGGGGUGGAUAUAUCUGGGGGGGAAGUUUCCAGUUUGUCCAUCCACUCUGCUCGCGCACAGGACGACGUCGCGCGCGCGUCAUUUCAGUUUAAGUCGCUUUUCUCUGUUGCUUUUUGUAAUUCACUGACGAAGAAGAGCGACACUGCCGCUCACUGCGCGGGCACGUGUUGCGCGCGAGGCGAGAAAGAAGUUGAGAGCGCAGGGCUGCAGAGAAGGACAGAGGGACAACGGAGCGAGACCACUCCACACACGAUGAAGAAAGACAACCCUGGCAGUCAGAGUCUGAAUCAAGUCCGGGCUCUGUUCUCCGUGCCUGGCAGUGAUUAUGACGGCCAAUGGAAGAGGACUAAGGUACUAUCCCAUCCUGGGGUUCCAUUAGUGGGACUGAUGCUUUUGGCCACCCUCCCUUUUGGAGCAGGCGUCAAACAGAGUGUCCCCAGGGUCAAACUCAGCCAGAGAGGUAAGAACUGAAAUACUGUCGAUUCAUCUGUUUAUUUUAUUGUAACUUUUACUUAAAUGCGUUGGUAUUGUUUUACUUUGUAAUUAACUUUGGUUAAGUUUAGGUCAUUUCGCAUAUUUUGUCUCAUGCAAACUCGCCUCAUCAUUGCACUUGUGCUCAGCUGAAGUUAAAGCACCGAACAAGUUAAAUGACCCUCAAUCACGCCUUUGAUUCACUUGCGUUUUCGUCUUUUUCAAAUGGUUUUUGGAUUAGCGUUUGGCUCAAUCAGUGUGCAUCCUCCUAGGCCAUGUUUAGCUUUGUCUAUAUUUCUAGGUAACAUUUUGCUCCUGCCUUUCUCUCUCUCUCUUGUGAUUUUGUGCACACAGCCAAGAAGAAAAGUGAAAAGACAGAGUUUCACACUAAGUCACACUGUUUAAGUAUAAUGAGAGAUUUAACAUCCACUUACCGAUCCAUUAGCCCACAUCGUAAUUCCCUGUUUUGUCAUUUUUGUGAGCACAAAAAUGUGUUCUGGCGACCUUCCUGGUGAAACACUAACACAGUCUCUUAAUCCUUCCAUCAACAUAAAUCCUGCAGUCAGAUUUAUAUUUUGAAUAUUUAUAAUUGUAAUGACACAAUGUUUGUUUUUAAUAAAAUACACUUUUAUUGCUGUCCAGUCCUAUAAGUCUAAGUCACAUGCAGGAACUACAAAUCCUCUUGAUGCUCCUGGUGCAUGGGACAGUGUCGUUCAAUCUGCUCUGUGUAUAUUAGCCGGUCUCGGCAAUGUGCAGUGUGUCCAAGUGUUUAGUUUUGCUUCAUCUGAGUCUGUUUGUUUUGUGCCACCAAGGGAAAGCUAAAUUAUUGCUCCCCUUGAAAUUCACCCCAGACUUAGGUGCAAACUUUACUUCAAAGUCUCCAUCUCUCAUGCUAAGUAUCGACUGCACACAACCACACAAAUGAACUUCAGUCUUGCUCCAUAAAACUAAAUCCCCACUGUGACCUAAAAGUAAACUUCAACUUCCAAACUGGUCAGAGGCGUUCAAAACCAGUAUGGCUGGAAAUAGAUACACAUGUAUGGCCUGAGUGUCCAAAGUAAAUAUACGUAAGUAGCUGCAGGAAUAAUGAUUGCUCGGGACAGUGUUUAUGCAGCAGUUACAGUAGUCUGGUGUUUAGC